rnacentral:rRNA from 1 species
AGUGAACGCUGGCGGUAGGCCUAACACAUGCAAGUCGAACGGCAGCACAGUAAGAGCUUGCUCUUACGGGUGGCGAGUGGCGGACGGGUGAGGAAUACAUCGGAAUCUACUUUUUCGUGGGGGAUAACGUAGGGAAACUUACGCUAAUACCGCAUACGACCUACGGGUGAAAGCAGGGGAUCUUCGGACCUUGCGCGAUUGAAUGAGCCGAUGUCGGAUUAGCUAGUUGGCGGGGUAAAGGCCCACCAAGGCGACGAUCCGUAGCUGGUCUGAGAGGAUGAUCAGCCAAACUGGAACUGAGACACGGUCCAGACUCCUACGGGAGGCAGCAGUGGGGAAUAUUGGACAAUGGGCGCAAGCCUGAUCCAGCCAUACCGCGUGGGUGAAGAAGGCCUUCGGGUUGUAAAGCCCUUUUGUUGGGAAGGAAAAGCAGCAGGUUAAUACCCCGCUGUUCUGACGGUACCCAAAGAAUAAGCACCGGCUAACUUCGUG